GGUUAGGGGUGAAAUGCCAAUCGAACUCGGAGCUAGCUGGUUCUCCCCGAAAUGCGUUGAGGCGCAGCGGUUGACGAGGAACCUCGUUUGAGGCCAUGAGCUGUCUAGGGGUAAAGCACUGUAUCGGUGCGGGCUGCGAGAGCGGUACCAAAUCGUAGCAAACUAAGAAUACUAGGCAUGUCUUUCCGUCAACCAGUGAGACGGUGGGGGAUAAGCUCCAUCGUCAAGAGGGAAACAGCCCAGAUCACCAGCUAAGGCCCCUGAAUGAUCGCUAAGUGGAAAAGGAGGUGAGAAUGCCGAAACAGCCAGAAGGUUUGCUUAGAAGCAGCCAUCCUUUAAAGAGUGCGUAAUAGCUCACUGGUGGAGCGUUCUUGCGCCGAAAAUUUACGGGACUAAGCGAUCUGCCGAAGCUGUGGGAUACCAGCAGAAGGAGCUGGUAUCGGUAGGGGAGCGUUCCGCCUUAGGGUGAAGCAUUGGUGUAAACUGGUGUGGACGAAGCGGAAGUGAGAAUGUCGGCUUGAGUAA
rnacentral:rRNA from 1 species